UGGGGAAUAUUGGACAAUGGGCGAAAGCCUGAUCCAGCCAUGCCGCGUGUGUGAAGAAGGUCUUCGGAUUGUAAAGCACUUUAAGUUGGGAGGAAGGGCAGUAAGCGAAUACCUUGCUGUUUUGACGUUACCGACAGAAUAAGCACCGGCUAACUCUGUGCCAGCAGCCGCGGUAAUACAGAGGGUGCAAGCGUUAAUCGGAAUUACUGGGCGUAAAGCGCGCGCAGGUGGUUCGUUAAGUUGAAUGUGAAAGCCCCGGGCUCAACCUGGGAACUGCAUCCAAAACUGGCGAGCUAGAGUAGGGCAGAGGGUGGUGGAAUUUCCUGUGUAGCGGUGAAAUGCGUAGAUAUAGGAAGGAACACCAGUGGCGAAGGCGACCACCUGGGCUCAUACUGACACUGAGGUGCGAAAGCGUGGGGAGCAAACAGG
rnacentral:rRNA from 1 species